CAGAAAUGAGAAGAAAUAUACUUCUGAAGAGAGAAAAUGCUUGAACAAAUGGACUAUGAAGAAUUAUUGGAGUGAAGAAAAAGGUGCUUAACAGAUGGAGCAAUAUUGAACUUUAUGCAGAGUUACAUUCAUCUUAUGCACAAGUCCAUGCAGCAGGCAGAAGGGAGAAUGGCAGCGUGCCUGAUGUGCUUUUGCUAAUCUCCACCAGUUAUCUCCUUAACGAAGACCAGAUUUCCAUACACAUGCUCUGUGAGUCUUUUCAUCCA